GACGAACGCUGGCGGCGUGCUUAACACAUGCAAGUCGAGCGGUAAGGCCCUUUCGGGGGUACACGAGCGGCGAACGGGUGAGUAACACGUGGGUGACCUGCCCUUAGCUCUGGGAUAAGCCUGGGAAACUGGGUCUAAUACCGGAUAUGACUCCAUGACGCAUGUUGUGGGGUGAAAGCCUUGUGCGGCUAGGGAUGGGCCCGCGGCCUAUCAGCUUGUUGGUGGGGUNAUGGCCACCAAGGCGACGACGGGUAGCCGGCCUGAGAGGGCGACCGGCCACACUGGGACUGAGACACGGCCCAGACUCCUACGGGAGGCAGCAGUGGGGAAUCUUGCGCAAUGGGCGAAAGCCUGACGCAGCGACGCCGCGUGGGGAUGACGGCC
rnacentral:rRNA from 1 species